rnacentral:rRNA from 1 species
UCCUACGGAGGCAGCAGUAGGGAAUCUUCCGCAAUGGACGAAAGUCUGACGGAGCAACGCCGCGUGAGUGAUGAAGGCUUUCGGGUCGUAAAACUCUGUUGUUAGGGAAGAACAAGUGCUAGUUGAAUAAGCUGGCACCUUGACGGUACCUAACCAGAAAACCACGGCUAACUACGUGCCAGCAGCCGCGGUAAUA